rnacentral:misc_RNA from 1 species
UUAAGUUCAGCGGGUAUCCCUACCUGAUCCGAGGUCAAAAUAAUAUGGUAACUUAUGGAGGGCUGGUCCAGAGGCCCCGAGUUCGCGUUUCUGCUGCGCUCGAAGCCAACGUACCGGCCGCCAAUAUAUUUGAGGCGCACGCCCCCGCGGAGGGAGGCGUGGCAUGCCCAACACCAAGCAGAGCUUGAAGGUUUAAAUGA